rnacentral:miRNA from 3 species
AAUGUGGAAGUGGUCUGAGGCAU